GGGCAGUUAGCUCAGCUGGUAGAGCGCUACAUUUACACUGUAGAUGUCAUAGGUUCGAGUCCUAUACUGCCCACCA
rnacentral:tRNA from 1 species